UAUGUCAGAUGCGACUGGACUAAUGCAAGAUAUAUCAAUUUGAGGUGUUUUAGAUCAAGUUAAUCCUUCAAAUAUUUUAUUUUAUAUAGAACCCCUCUCAACUUAUUAACUAUAUUUUUUACUUGUAGGUCCCACCUCAUGUAACGGUCAAUGAUCACACCCAAAUACUUGACCGACUCUGCCUCCAGGAUGUAAGAGUCAGUACCGGCCGUUAAAGGACCCAUAGAAGGCAAUCCACUGGAGUAUGAGCAAAAGGGCAUAUAUCUUGUUUUUUCUAGGUUUAGGGCCUGGAUCGAUUACAUAUAUAGUCUACACAACCCCAGAGAGCCUUGGACUGGUUAAUGUUAUCUCUUAUCAAUUUUUGUGCAUAUGUUUUCUUCGCAAUAUCCAUUAAUUUAGUUAAUUUGUUCUUAUAUGCCACAUAUUCCGACCCCUCUGUGAUCCCUCUGUACGGCUUUAUACAAUAGUUGUUUUGUAUUAAUUGAUGUGACAAGAGCAUUAGUGAUCCAUUUUUUCUUUUAGUAUUCUGUUAUUUCAUUCUCACACUUUUUGUACUUUCUUCUAAAUAUUUAUUAAUUUUAUCAAUAAAGUAAUCAGUUUUAUCGUCUAUAUUUUGUGAAAAAUAGAAUUUUUCCCACUUCUCCAUUUUCAGUGCGGUCUUCAGUGCUGAAUAAUCAAUGAACUUUCUAAUGCUAUCAUGCAUCCUCGAUGAAUCUUCCGAUUUUCGAUUCAAUUCUAUUGUCAAUGCUAUAGGAUCGUGGUCAGUUAUGGAGUACUGGAAAAUAUACGACUGAAUCUUC